rnacentral:sRNA from 1 species
UCACUGAAAUUCCAUCAGCGGAAAAUGC